GACGAACGCUGGCGGCGUGCUUAACACAUGCAAGUGGUGCGACGAACCGGGGCUUGCCCCGGGGCAGAGCCGCGAACGGGUGAGUAACACGUGGGUAACCUGCCCUGUUGAUUGGGACAACCCCGGGAAACCGGGGCUAAUACCAAAUGUGAUCGGGCCACUCAAGUGGCCUUGAAGAAAGGAGGCUUCGGCUUCCGCAACGGGAUGGGCCCGCGGCCCAUUAGCUUGUUGGUGAGGUAAUGGGCUCACCAAGGCUUCGAUGGGUAGCUGGUCUGAGAGGACGAUCAGCCACACUGGGACUGAGACACGGCCCAGACUCCUACGGGAGGCAGCAGUGGGGAAUCUUGCGCAAUGCGCGAAUGCGUGACGCAGCAACGCCGCGUGAGGGAAGACGG
rnacentral:rRNA from 1 species